rnacentral:rRNA from 1 species
ACCCGCACAAGCGGUGGAUGAUGUGGAUUAAUUCGAUGCAACGCGAAAACCUUACCUACCCUUGACAUGUCCGGAAUCCCGAAGAGAUUUGGGAGUGCUCGCAAGAGAACCGGAACACAGGUGCUGCAUGGCUGUCGUCAGCUCGUGUCGUGAGAUGUUGGGUUAAGUCCCGCAACGAGCGCAACCCUUGUCAUUAGUUGCCAUCAUUUGGUUGGGCACUCUAAUGAGACUGCCGGUGACAAACCGGAGGAAGGUGGGGAUGACGUCAAGUCCUCAUGGCCCUUAUGGGUAGGGCUUCACACGUCAUACAAUGGUCGGUACAGAGGGUUGCCAACCCGCGAGGGGGAGCUAAUCCCACAAAGCCGAUCGUAGUCCGGAUCGCAGUCUGCAACUCGACUGCGUGAAGUCGGAAUCGCUAGUAAUCGUGGAUCAGCAUGUCACGGUGAAUACGUUCCCGGGCCUU